AUUGAACGCUGGCGGCAGGCCCAACACAUGCAAGUCGAACGGUAACAGGAAGCUGCUUGCUGCUUUGCUGACGAGUGGCGGACGGGUGAGUAAUGUCUGGGAAACUGCCUGUUGGAGGGGGUUAACUACUGGAAACGGUAGCUAAUACCGCAUAACGUCGCAAGACCAAAGAGGGGGACCUUCGGGCCCCUUGCCAUCGGAUGUGCCCAGAUGGGAUUAGCUAGUAGGUGGGGUAACGGCUCACCUAGGCGACGAUCCCUAGCUGGUCUGAGAGGCUGACCAGCCACACUGGAACUGAGACACGGUCCAGACUCCUACGGGAGGCAGCAGUGGUGAAUAUUGCACAAUGGGCGCAAGCCUGAUGCAGCCAUGCCGCGUGUAUGAAGAAGGCCUUCGGGUUGUAAAGUACUUUCAGCGGGGAGGAAGGGAGUAAAGUUAAUACCUUUGCUCAUUGACGUUACCCGCAGAAGAAGCACCGGCUAACUCCGUG
rnacentral:rRNA from 1 species